CCAUGUCUUAUACUUCAAACGCACCAAGUGUACACAAUGUCAGCUGAUCUAUUUAGUAAGCAUUCUUCUUGCACAGGAAAAUACUGAGGUAGUCGGUAAGCAGCAUACUAUCUAUGACUAUAUAAAUGUAUCAGAAAUCUAGCUGAGUCAUACCAUGACUCUUUUGUCGAAAGAAGGAAACAGCCAGGUUUCCUUCAUACAAAAACAGAAAACUGGUGCGAGGUAAGGACACGCAUCCUAGUUACGGAAACUGGGAAAUGCUCUCAGGUCUUCCAACUGAAGAGACUUCCUAAGCUGCGCUCUUCUGAAUCUUCUUCCUGCCUUUCCCCAAACCAUGAGAUCCUAUCCAGAACAAAGGAAGAGUGCGGUAAGAAAGGGAAAGAAUCCCAGCAACUCCACACAGAAAGAAAAUGACAAUGAGAAAUGAAGAAACGUGAUUUCAGAUGCCUGUAAAACCACAGCGUUCUGUUCUCCAAGGUGUGACGAUCCUAAAGAGGACUCCUCCUGCAGUGCCAAGCACUUCAGUAUAGUACCAGACAGAUCACUGGAGCACUCCUUCACUAAUAUGCAAAAACCAGGCUGGGAACCAAGGUCUGGCAAAGGUUAAUCUCCUGUAUGCAUCAAGACCGUAAGGGAAGUGACUGAAGUCCAGGGUUCCGUUGACACUUCUGUUCAACUUAUGACCAAUCAGAAGACUGCAUAAAUCCAGAAAGUAUGGUGCCAACCGCACUCACCGACUGAGGGCAUUAAUUCCAUACAAAGUGUUCCAUAACUGCUUUGAUGGGUAGCUGUUCCUCCAUUUCCUUCCAAAACUAAACCAUCACACCAAAGACACUGAAUACCAGAAGGGAGAGCUGUCCAUGGAUUUUUAUCAAACAGGCUAAACAUUUUGAGCCUCAGCACUGUUUGGGUUGUUUGCUUGUUGUAAUUUUUUUAUAUGAAAAUUAACUAAAGAUGAACGGGAAACAAGAUUUUAACAAUAUAGUAAGACUUCACCGCCAGUUGCUCCAACUUACUUAGAACAAACUGAGUUUUCCAGCAAAGAAAACAGUACUAGCACUAUAUCAAUCUGAAGUUAAAGAACAAAUGUCAGUCUAUUCUUGACAAACUCUUGCUUGCAUUUGUCUCUUUAGGACUCAGGCUCUUUGAUUCACUACGUUGUCCACCACGCACAGUAGCAUAAUGGAGUAGGGUGUCAGAGCCUGCCGUGUACCCCUCCACUUGCAGGGAUUCAGCUGCCUGUA
rnacentral:lncRNA from 1 species